rnacentral:tRNA from 1 species
GGGGAGGUGCCAGAGUGGACGAUUGGGGCCGCCUGCUAAGCGGUUGUCGGCUAUAACCGACCGCAGGUUCGAAUCCUGUCCUCCCCGCCA